rnacentral:rRNA from 46 species
UAAACGACUCUCGGCAACGGAUAUCUCGGCUCACGCAUCGAUGAAGAACGUAGCAAAAUGCGAUACUUGGUGUGAAUUGCAGAAUCCCGUGAACCAUCGAGUUUUUGAACGCAAGUUGCGCCCGAAGCCAUCCGGUUGAGGGCACGUCUGCCUGGGCGUCACGU